GGGCCGGUCGUCUAGUCUGGAUGCAGAAUAUGUAGGACAAUUUAGGAUACCUGCCUGACACGCAGGUGGUCGAGGGUUCAAAUCCCUCCCGGCCCACCA
rnacentral:tRNA from 1 species